GGAGGAAAGUAGGGGAUCGCAAGACCUUGCGCUAAAGGAGCGGCCGAUGUCUGAUUAGCUAGUUGGUGGGGUAAAGGCCUACCAAGGCAACGAUCAGUAGCUGGUCUGAGAGGACGAUCAGCCACACUGGGACUGAGACACGGCCCAGACUCCUACGGGAGGCAGCAGUGGGGAAUUUUGGACAAUGGGCGAAAGCCUGAUCCAGCCAUGCCGCGUGAGUGAAGAAGGCCUUCGGGUUGUAAAGCUCUUUUAGUUGGAAAGAAAGAAUUAUGGUUAAUAACUAUAAUUUAUGACGGUACCAACAGAAAAAGCACCGGCUAAAUACGUGCCAGCAGCCGCGGUAAUACGUAGGGUGCGAGCGUUAAUCGGAAUUACUGGGCGUAAAGGGUGCGCAGGCGGCCAUGCAAGUCAGAUGUGAAAGCCCCGGGCUUAACCUGGGAAUUGCGUUUGAAACUACAAAGCUAG
rnacentral:rRNA from 1 species